rnacentral:rRNA from 1 species
UGGGGAAUAUUGCACAAUGGGCGCAAGCCUGAUGCAGCCAUGCCGCGUGUAUGAAGAAGGCCUUCGGGUUGUAAAGUUCUUUCAGCGGGGAGGAAGGGAGUAAAGUUAAUACCUUUGCUCAUUGACGUUACCCGCAGAAGAAGCACCGGCUAACUCCGUGCCAGCAGCCGCGGUAAUACGGAGGGUGCAAGCGUUAAUCGGAAUUACUGGGCGUAAAGCGCACGCAGGCGGUUUGUUAAGUCAGAUGUGAAAUCCCCGGGCUCAACCUGGGAACUGCAUCUGAUACUGGCAAGCUUGAGUCUCGUAGAGGGGGGUAGAAUUCCAGGUGUAGCGGUGAAAUGCGUAGAGAUCUGGAGGAAUACCGGUGGCGAAGGCGGCCCCCUGGACGAAGACUGACGCUCAGGUGCGAAAGCGUGGGGAGCAAACAGG